rnacentral:Y_RNA from 1 species
GGCUGGUCCGAAGGUAGUGAGUUAUCUCACAUGAUUGUUACAGAUUAAACUCCUUGUUCUACUACUUUCCCCCCUCCUCACUAUUGCACUUGACUAGUCUUAA